UAGCAAAUCUGAAUUUGAAUGCAGCAAUAGAUCAAAUUGGACCUUCAGAUCCACGAAGAGAUCCAAAAAUCGCAAAAACAACCAAAAGCCACACGGAGUAGUUGAAACCGAAAAAAAGAAAAGAAGAAACCUUUUUUGUUAGGAAUUAAAUCUUUUCUCAGCUAUCAUUGGCGAUGAAUCACUCCAAACCAGAUGAAAAAGGCGAACAAGAUCAGCAGCAGCUUUAACUUCCUUGGACGUAAUAAAGUGGAACAGUAGAUUGUCCAUUCGCUUGCAGAGAACAAGGUGUAGCACCAUUGGACCGAAAUGGCGCGUGGAUCUCAGCGUGGAAAAUUUAUUGUUCUCAUCGAUACAGUUGUAUGUCUUUCUUGUUACACGUAUGUAGUCUGGGUCAUCUGGCUCAAACUGUGCGCACGCACGAUCAAGUACAAAUUGAUAUUGACCUUGGUCAAGGCAGUCCUUAAGAAGGAAUAAUUCAUGUGGUGUAAACCUUUAGCUGUGUUAUUUCAUACUACCUGUAAAUGAGUUUCUUCAAACAUUUUUGGCAUAGAAAUUUGUCGUCCUGGAAGGGGAAAGUAAAUUUGACACAUUUUUUGUCUUUCUUCCCAAGAUGCAUCCCUCAAGACACCAUUUGGAUCCCUGACAACAACUUCACGCUUCUAUGAAAUAAAAUAUAUGCAGUUUACAAUUAA